AUGUAGAGCAAUGCACAGCGCAUUGGAUUUCUAAUCCAAAGAUUGGGGGCUCGAAUCCCACCUGGAAUG